GCCCCUUUGGCCAAGUUGGAUUAAGGCAUGUGGCUUAUGUUUCUCAGGCAUCAAAAAAUCGCACCUCGAGAUCAUGAGGUUUUAUUUCGAAAACCGCGAGAUCGUGGGUUCGAGUCCCACAAGGGGCA